UACGGAGGAUGCAAGCGUUAUCCGGAAUGAUUGGGCGUAAAGCGUCCGCAGGUGGCUGUGUAAGUCUGCUGUUAAAGAGCAAAGCUUAACUUUGUAAAAGCAGUGGAAACUACACAGCUAGAGUGCGUUCGGGGCAGAGGGAAUUCCUGGUGUAGCGGUGAAAUGCGUAGAGAUCAGGAAGAACACCGGUGGCGAAGGCGCUCUGCUAGGCCGAAACUGACACUGAGGGACGAAAGCUAGGGGAGCGAAUGGG
rnacentral:rRNA from 1 species